AGGACGAACGCUGGCGGCGUGCUUCAUACAUGCAAGUCGAGCGGAAAGGCCCUUCGGGGUACUCGAGCGGCGAACGGGUGAAUAACACGUGAGUAAUCUGCCCCUAGCUCUGGGAUAGCUCCGGGAAAACCGGGAUUAAUACCAGAUACGACCACUUUAGACAUCUGUUGUGGUGGAAAGAAUUUUGGCUAGGGAUGAGCUCGCGGCCUAUCAGCUUGUUGGUGAGGUAACGGCUCACCAAGGCGACGACGGGUAGCCGGCCUGAGAGGGCGACCGGCCACACUGGGACUGAGACACGGCCCAGACUCCUACGGGAGGCAGCAGUGGGGAAUAUUGCGCAAUGGGCGAAAGCCUGACGCAGCGACGCCGCGUGGGGGAUGAAGGCCUUCGGGUUGUAAACCCUUUCAGCAGGGACGAAGCGAAAGUGACGGUACCUGCAGAAGAAGCGCCGGCUAACUACGCGCCAGCAGCCGC
rnacentral:rRNA from 1 species